UGGCCAGACUCCUACGGGAGGCAGCAGUGAGGAAUAUUGGUCAAUGGGCGGGAGCCUGAACCAGCCAAGUCGCGUGAGGGAAGACGGUCCUAUGGAUUGUAAACCUCUUUAGGCGGGGAGCAAUGCCGGGCACGCGUGCCCGGAGGGAGAGUACCCGCAGAAUAAGCAUCGGCUAACUCCGUGCCAGCAGCCGCGGUAAUACGGAGGAUGCGAGCGUUAUCCGGAUUUAUUGGGUUUAAAGGGUGCGUAGGCGGAUUUUUAAGUCAGCGGUAAAAUGUCCGGGCUCAACCCGGGCCGGCCGUUGAAACUGGGGAUCUUGAGUGGGCGAGAAGUAUGCGGAAUGCGUGGUGUAGCGGUGAAAUGCGUAGAUAUUAGGAGGAACACCAGUGGCGAAGGCGGCUUGCUGGACAGUAACUGACGUUGAGGCUCGAAAGCGUGGGGAGCAAACAGGAUUAGAUACCCGCGUAC
rnacentral:rRNA from 1 species